UCUGUUUAAAUAACAGGUUGAGAAAGGGCCGGGCAAGACCGGUGCCAGCCGCCGCGGUAAUACCGGCGGCUCGAGUGGUGGCCACUAUUACUGGGCUUAAAGCGUUCGUAGCUGGUCUGUUAAGUCUCUGGGGAAAUCUUCCGGCUUAACCGGAAGGCGUCUCAGGGAUACUGGCAGACUAGGGACCGGGAGAGGUGAGGGGUACUCCAGGGGUAGGAGUGAAAUCCUGUAAUCCUUGGGGGACCACCUGUGGCGAAGGCGCCUCACCAGAACGGCUCCGACAGUGAGGAACGAAAGCUGGGGGAGCAAACCGGAUUAGAUACCCGGGUAGUCCCAGCUGUAAACGAUGCGCGUUAGGUGUAUCGAUGACCACGAGUCAUCGAGGUGCCGAAGAGAAAUCGUGAAACGUGCCGCCUGGGAAGUACGGUCGCAAGGCUGAAACUUAAAGGAAUUGGCGGGGGAGCACCACAACGGGUGGAGCCUGCGGUUUAAUCGGACUCAACGCCGGGAAACUCACCGGAUAAGACAGCUGGAUGAUAGUCGGGCUGAAGACUCUACUUGACUAGCUGAGAGGAGGUGCAUGGCCGUCGUCAGUUCGUACUGUGAAGCGUCCUGUUAAGUCAGGCAACGAGCGAGACCCACGCCAACAGUUGCCAGCUCGUCCUCCGGGAUGGUGGGGACACUGUUGGGACCGCCUCUGCUAAAGAGGAGGAAGGAAUGGGCAACGGUAGGUCAGCAUGCCCCGAAUUAUCCGGGCUACACGCGGGCUACAAUGGGUGGGACAAUGGGUAUCGACACCGAAAGGUGAAGGCAUCUCCUAAACCCAUCCUUAGUUCGGAUUGUGGGC
rnacentral:rRNA from 1 species